GCUUUUGAAGUAUCUUGUAUAUCUAGCUUCCAACUAGAAGGUUUAGCUUUAACAAAAGCA
rnacentral:tRNA from 1 species